rnacentral:lncRNA from 1 species
CCACUAGCCGCCUUGUGAGUGCCGAAAGAGGUUGGUGCAAGAGGACCUCCACACAUGCUGCCUACCACUCUCACGAACGUUGGAAGAGCCUGCUGCAGCAGAAUUUAUAUUUUUGACAUAAAUCGUUCGUAAAAUCCUGAAAAAAUCAGAGAACAUUAAGUUAAAUCCCAAAACUCAUUUAUACGUAUGAAACUGUGUAUAGUAUGGUUCAAAAUUUUAUAAUGUUCGGAGAUUAUGACUUCAAUGUAAAAUAUAAUCUUUCUCAUAAAAUAUCUCAGUACUAACUUCAAUGAUAUCUGAUGGUAUGCUCUAAAUUAGCAUGUGUUUUAUGAAAAAUGUUCUAAAAUAUGUUUAUGUAAAUAAACCUUUGAUUUAGGUGAAUAGGCAUAAUGUAAUGCAUUAUAUGUGAAGAAUAUGCAUGAUAUAGAGGGAAUAAAUGGUGCAUUAUCACAAAGCUUUAUGUAAAUGGUGCCUACUAAUAAUGAGAAUGAGGGAGGAUAAAGUAAAUGUGGAUACAUUGUUUGCAGUGAGUGUGUUACCACUAGAGUUCAAAAAGAACUCCAAAGUUAAACGUACACAGGCUAAAGCAGUAUCAAGAUGGGUGAUCUCUUGAGAAAGGGCUAGGCUCAGGUUACCCCCUAGUCAAAAGGUGUGUAGGCCUUGUAAAAAAUAGUCAACUUUGACCUACAAGCCUGUGGUAGGGACGACCUUGGAAAAAAAAAAAGUACGUCUGCACUGUCCACUAGAGAGAGUAGUCAACGCCCAAAAAUGAGGUUAUCCACUUAGUGAGCAGAGGGGCUGUGAAAAUCGUAGACAAAUGGUCUCACAUUUUCAAGCAAAUCAAACAAGGGCAUCAACAAAGAUUGUCCUAUGUUCUAGUCAAAGAUCUUCACCCCCCAGAGAGACCCCGUUCUUCAGUAGAUAAUCCCAAAGUUUCCUGCCUUUAUAAGGCCAUAGCUCCAUCAUCGAACAAAUAUUUCAUUUCAAUUUUCUCCUCUUUUACGUAGGUCUCAUGUUUCAAUUAUACAUAAGUUUCAUCACCAUAUGCGACUGUUGUGGAGAGGUGGGAAUUAAAGCUGCACAUAAGAAGGCGUGCAGAUCUAGUGGAAUAAGCUGCCAGACAGACACCAUGUACCCUAAAAAAUUAUCCUCAAAAGGCAACGAACAUCAAGCACAUAUGAGUUCACCAGUAAAUAUCAUAUUAUAAAUCGUUUCCUUCAAAAAGACCGAAUAUAAAGGAAUAAAAAAAACCUAAAUAUGAUCAAUGACAUGAUAAGAAAUACUUGUCCAAGGAUGAGUUUCUUACAUGGAACAUGGAACAAACAGUCCAAGACCGAUGAAGAAGCAUGUACAUCCGAGAAUCCUUGAAAUACUGAGGAUCUGAGGGUUAUUUCACUUUUUCAUCAAUUGAAUUUGAAGUUCCUUUCUUCCCAGAAAAUUAUCUUUGCAAGUGGAUUCUAGCCAUUUCAAAAGGAACAAUAAAUGCUUGGCUGUUCUCACAAUUAUGAGCAGUCAAGCUUGAAACCCCC